rnacentral:rRNA from 1 species
AGAGUUUGAUCCUGGCUCAGGACGAACGCUGGCGGCGCGCCUAACACAUGCAAGUCGAACGAGCGAGAGAGAGCUUGCUUUCUCGAGCGAGUGGCGAACGGGUGAGUAACGCGUGAGGAACCUGCCUCAAAGAGGGGGACAACAGUUGGAAACGACUGCUAAUACCGCAUAAGCCCACGGCUCGGCAUCGAGCAGAGGGAAAAGGAGCAAUCCGCUUUGAGAUGGCCUCGCGUCCGAUUAGCUAGUUGGUGAGGUAACGGCCCACCAAGGCGACGAUCGGUAGCCGGACUGAGAGGUUGAACGGCCACAUUGGGACUGAGACACGGCCCAGACUCCUACGGGAGGCAGCAGUGGGGAAUAUUGCACAAUGGGGGAAACCCUGAUGCAGCGACGCCGCGUGGAGGAAGAAGGUCUUCGGAUUGUAAACUCCUGUUGUUGAGGAAGAUAAUGACGGUACUCAACAAGGAAGUGACGGCUAACUACGUGCCAGCAGCCGCGGUAAAACGUAGGUCACAAGCGUUGUCCGGAAUUACUGGGUGUAAAGGGAGCGCAGGCGGGAAGACAAGUUGGAAGUGAAAUCCAUGGGCUCAACCCAUGAACUGCUUUCAAAACUGUUUUUCUUGAGUAGUGCAGAGGUAGGCGGAAUUCCCGGUGUAGCGGUGGAAUGCGUAGAUAUCGGGAGGAACACCAGUGGCGAAGGCGGCCUACUGGGCACCAACUGACGCUGAGGCUCGAAAGUGUGGGUAGCAAACAGGAUUAGAUACCCUGGUAGUCCACACUGUAAACGAUGAUUACUAGGUGUUGGAGGAUUGACCCCUUCAGUGCCGCAGUUAACACAAUAAGUAAUCCACCUGGGGAGUACGACCGCAAGGUUGAAACUCAAAGGAAUUGACGGGGGCCCGCACAAGCAGUGGAGUAUGUGGUUUAAUUCGACGCAACGCGAAGAACCUUACCAAGUCUUGACAUCCUGCGACGGUGCUGGAAACAGGACUUUCCUUCGGGACGCAGAGACAGGUGGUGCAUGGUUGUCGUCAGCUCGUGUCGUGAGAUGUUGGGUUAAGU